rnacentral:lncRNA from 1 species
CAUGCGCGUCUGCGGACGGGCCCGGGACCAUGGGCAAGAAGCGAGAGGGGCUGAGCGUGGCCCGGGAGAUUGAUGAACUGGAGGAAAAGCUGUCACUUUGCAGACAGAGCAUGGAGGAAGUAGAUCUCAAACUGCGCAGGGAGAAGCUCAGCCAUGAAGGAAGAAAGUUACUGGAGAGAGAGAGAAACCUACUAAUGACCAAAGCUGACAACUAUGGUAAGAGCUUCAUUAAAAAUGGUCCCUCUGGGCUGAAUGGCAUCAGUGCUGCAGCUUAGCUUCAUCUUCAAGCUCCUGCUAUCUCUUAACUUCUGCCUUUGAAUUUAGGCUCAACCAAAGGGAGCAAGACUGGGGGAAAUCUUGUUAGCCUAUUUUGCAUCUAGAUCCUCCCACUUGAGCCAUGCUAUCAUAAGGGAGAAAAAAAUUAGGUAUCAGCUGAUGAAGGAGGUAAAAAAUCCCUUUCACAUACCCCAAGCUACCAAUAUUUAUAAAGUCUUAGCUGACAGAUUGGCUUGAGAGGGCUUUUAACAACUUCUACCCUUUCUUUAAAAAAAAAAUUAAAAAAAUAGAGGCUUGCUGAGUAAUCUUUUACAUGCUGACUGGAGUACAACCAAGUGUACUUUCCUUGGGGAAGCUUCUCCCCACAUUGGUCUCUGGGGGCUAUGCUACGCAUCAGCAUAAAAGUUCACGUUGAAUUGCUGCCUAGAAUAUCAGAGCACCAGGGUCGUUCCCUA